GACAGAGGGUGCAACGUUGUUCGGAAUUACUGGGGCGUAAAGGGCGCGUGAGGCGGUCUUGCAAGUCCCGUGUGAAAUCCCUCGGCUCAACUGAGGAACUGCACGGGAAACUGCUUGGCUUGAGUUCGGGAGAGGGAAGGCGGAAUUCCGGGUGGUAGCGGUGGAAAUGACGUAGAUAUCCGGAGGAACACCGGUGGCGAAGGCGGCUUCCUGGAC
rnacentral:rRNA from 1 species